AUCUUCCGCAAUGGACGAAAGUCUGACGGAGCAACGCCGCGUGAGUGAUGAAGGCUUUCGGGUCGUAAAACUCUGUUGUUAGGGAAGAACAAGUGCUAGGUGAAUAAGCUGGCACCUUGACGGUACCUAACCAGAAAGACACGGCUAACUACGUGCCAGCAGCCGCGGUAAUACGUAGGUGGCACACGUUAUCCGGAAUUAUUGGGCGUAAAGCGCGCGCAGGUGGUUUCUUAAGGCUGAUGGGAAAGCCCACGGCUCAACCGUGGAGAGUCAUUGGAAACUGGGAGACUUGAGUGCAGAAGAGGAAAGUGGAAUUCCAUGUGUAGCGGUGAAAUGCGUAGAGAUAUGGAGGAACACCAGUGGCGAAGGCGACUUUCUGGUCUGUAACUGAAACUGAGGCGCGAAAGCGUGGGGAGCAAACAG
rnacentral:rRNA from 1 species